CCUACGGGAGGCAGCAGUAAGGAAUAUUGGUCAAUGGACGCAAGUCUGAACCAGCUAUGCCGCGUGAAGGAUUAAGGUCCUCUGGAUUGUAAACUUCUUUUAUCUGGGACGAAAAAAGGUCUUUCUAGACCCCUUGACGGUACCAGAUGAAUAAGCACCGGCUAACUCCGUGCCAGCAGCCGCGGUAAUACGGAGGGUGCAAGCGUUAUCCGGAUUCACUGGGUUUAAAGGGUGCGUAGGCGGGUAGGUAAGUCAGUGGUGAAAUCCUGGAGCUCAACUCCAGAACUGCCAUUGAUACUAUCUAUCUUGAAUAUUGUGGAGGUAAGCGGAAUAUGUCAUGUAGCGGUGAAAUGCUUAGAUAUGACAUAGAACACCCAUUGCGAAGGCAGCUUACUACGCAUAUAUUGACGCUGAGGCACGAAAGCGUGGGGAUCAAACAGGAUUAGAUACCCUGGUAGUCCACGCCCUAAACGAUGGAUACUCGACAUACGCGAUACACUGUGUGUGUUGUGAGACGAAGACGAGUUAAGUUACGUAACCGUACCGUACGGUUAAGGUUACGUUACGUUACGAAGAAGUUAGAACGUUACGAAGGAAGUUAGACGGCGNGAGACGNGACGACGGACGACGACGAGGGAGGAGG
rnacentral:rRNA from 1 species